rfam:Camelus ferus unplaced genomic scaffold scaffold1866, whole genome shotgun sequence.
GAGGGUAUAGCUCAAGUGGUAGAGUGCAUGCCUAGCGUGCACAGGGUCCUGGGUUCAAUCCCCAGUAUCUCCU